rnacentral:rRNA from 1 species
GUGCACGCUGGCGGUAGGCCUAACCCAUGCCAGUCGAACGGCAGCACAGUAAGAGCUUGCUCUUACGGGUGGCGAGUGGCGGACGGGUGAGGAAUACAUCGGAAUCUACUUUUUCGUGGGGGAUAACGUAGGGAAACUUACGCUAAUACCGCAUACGACCUGCGGGUGAAAGCAGGGGAUCUUCGGACCUUGCGCGAUUGAAUGAGCCGAUGUCGGAUUAGCUAGUUGGCGGGGUAAAGGCCCACCAAGGCGACGAUCCGUAGCUGGUCUGAGAGGAUGAUCAGCCACACUGGAACUGAGACACGGUCCAGACUCCUACGGGAGGCAGCAGUGGGGAAUAUUGGACAAUGGGCGCAAGCCUGAUCCAGCCAUACCGCGUGGGUGAAGAAGGCCUUCGGGUUGUAAAGCCCUUUUGUUGGGAAAGAAAAGCAGCAGGUUAAUACCCCGCUGUUCUGACGGUACCCAAAGAAUAAGCACCGGCUAACUUCGUG